GACGAACGCUGGCGGCGUGCUUAACACAUGCAAGUCGAACGGAAAGGCGCUGCUCUUGUGGGGUGCUCGAGUGGCGAACGGGUGAGUAACACGUGAGUAACCUGCCCUUGUCUUUGGGAUAACUUCAGGAAACUGGGGCUAAUACCGGAUAGGAGCUCCUGCUGCAUGGUGGUGGUUGGAAAGUUUCGGCGGUUGGGGCUGGACUCGCGGCUUAUCAGCUUGUUGGUGGGGUAGUGGCUUACCAAGGCUUUGACGGGUAGCCGGCAUGAGAGGGUGACCGGGGUCAUGGGGACUGAGAUACGGACCAGUCUCCUACGGGAGGCAGAAGGGGGGUAUAUUGCAGAAUGGGCGGAAGCCUGAUGCAGCAGCGCCGCGUGCGGGAUGACGGCCUUCGGGGUGUAAACCGCUUUCGCCUGUGACGAAGCGUGAGUGACGGUAAUGGGUAAAGAAGCACCGGCUAACUACGUG
rnacentral:rRNA from 1 species